rnacentral:rRNA from 1 species
UUCCUCCCGAGUGCUUGCACUCAAUUGGAAAGAGGAGUGGCGGACGGGUGAGUAACACGUGGGUAACCUACCCAUCAGAGGGGGAUAACACUUGGAAACAGGUGCUAAUACCGCAUAACAGUUUAUGCCGCAUGGCAUAAGAGUGAAAGGCGCUUUCGGGUGUCGCUGAUGGAUGGACCCGCGGUGCAUUAGCUAGUUGGUGAGGUAACGGCUCACCAAGGCCACGAUGCAUAGCCGACCUGAGAGGGUGAUCGGCCACACUGGGACUGAGACACGGCCCAGACUCCUACGGGAGGCAGCAGUAGGGAAUCUUCGGCAAUGGACGAAAGUCUGACCGGGCAACGCCGCGUGAGUGAAGAAGGUUUUCGGAUCGUAAAACUCUGUUGUUAGAGAAGAACAAGGACGUUAGUAACUGAACGUCCCCUGACGGUAUCUAACCAGAAAGCCACGGCUAACUACGUGCCAGCAGCCGCGGUAAUACGUAGGUGGCAAGCGUUGUCCGGAUUUAUUGGGCGUAAAGCGAGCGCAGGCGGUUUCUUAAGUCUGAUGUGAAAGCCCCCGGCUCAACCGGGGAGGGUCAUUGGAAACUGGGAGACUUGAGUGCAGAAGAGGAGAGUGGAAUUCCAUGUGUAGCGGUGAAAUGCGUAGAUAUAUGGAGGAACACCAGUGGCGAAGGCGGCUCUCUGGUCU